UGGGGAAUAUUGCACAAUGGGCGCAAGCCUGAUGCAGCGACGCCGCGUGGGGGGAUGACGGCCUUCGGGUUGUAAACCUCUUUCACCAUCGGCGAAGCCCAUAGCUUUUGUUGUGGGUGACGGUAGGUGGAGAAGAAGCCCCGGCUAACUACGUGCCAGCAGCCGCGGUAAUACGUAGGGGGCAAGCGUUGGUCCGGAUUAUUGGCGUAAGAGCGUGUAGGCGGCCAGAUAGGUCGGUUGUGAAACUGGAGGCUCAACCUUCAGACGUCGACCGAAACCAUCUGGCUAGAGUCCGGAAGAGGAGAGUGG
rnacentral:rRNA from 1 species